UACGUAGGUCGCAAGCGUUGUCCGGAUUUACUGGGCGUAAAGAGCGCGCAGGCGGCUGGUCAAGUCCGAUGUGAAAUCUCCCGGCUUAACUGGGAAACUGCAUCGGAAACUGAUCGGCUUGAAGGUGGGAGAGGGUAGUGGAAUUCCCGGUGUAGUGGUGAAAUGCGUAGAUAUCGCUUGGAACGCCGACGGUGAAAACAGGUCGCUGGGAAUGUGCCGACGCUGAGACACGAAAGCCAGGGGAGCAAACGGG
rnacentral:rRNA from 1 species